rnacentral:tRNA from 1 species
AGUUAGCGUAGCAAGACCUGACAUUGCCAAAGACCUAGGCCCUUUCAAUAGAGGUGCAAGCCCUCUCGCUAACU